AAAAGAACAAAGUUUUGUCCAUCUUUGUUCAUCAUAGCUGAAAGUUAGAGAAGAGAAAAGAGAGGAGAAAGCUCUUAAGUAUUUGGUCAUUAGGAGGAGGAAAAUUGACGGUAAGUUCUUGGUACCUUGCUUCUAUUUUGAGGUUCAUGAGUUCUUCUUGAUUCUACCUUAACUCUUGAAGUAUAUUUUAAUUUUUAGUUGUGUUGUGAGCAUUUAGUCAUGAAUUAAAAUGAAGGAAAUGGUUGUUGUUUCAUGUUCCUUUGAUGAAAAAUGGAAGAUAAGUGAAGUUGAGCCAAACAAAUGAACAUGCAUGUGCCUUAGAUGCUAAAGGGAAAAAUCGGCUAACAUGUUGUGCUUUAAAAUGAUGAAAUGGAGAUUAUACUUAAGUAAAAUCAUAGAUAUGUGAUGAUUGAUUGGUGAUAUACAUGUUUAAAUAACAAGCAUGCAAGUUAGGUGUGAAAGAGUGAUUUGGUGAUAAAUCUGCUUGGGACAGCAGCAGUAACGUGACUUUGGAAAAUCACCAUAAAUUGUGGGAGAUGAAUUAGAAGCUGAAUAAAUUAUGUAAUUAAAUCUUAUUGAGUCUAGCUUCAAAUGAAAUAAACAAGAACAUAUUUUGAAUUCUGUACAAUGAGAAAUUUGAUUCGUAAUAAAGAGUGGUCAGAUUAGUCAAACAGUGAAACAUGGGAAACUUUAAGAAAAAUCUGGUAUUGAUUGGCCAUACCAAAAAUUCUGAAAAUUUUAUGGAUAGAAUAUAUAUAAGUCUAUUUUCAGGGAAAAUUAACGGAACUUGAUUUGGAGUUUCGUAGCUCCAGUUAUAAAUGAUUUAGUGACUGUUGCUCAGGAAGACAGCUUGCAGUGAAAUUAUGAUUAUGUGGUAAACAUUGACAAAAAUUUGUUAAUGAGUUGCUUAUUGAUUUCUUAUAAGCUUACUAUGAUCUGUAGGUGUGGUUGGCCGAAUAUUGUAAGGGUUAAUACAUAGUUCGUAUUUGAAUAGUUAGAUUAACGUGUUAGUAAUCCAAUUGUAGGCGGUUCGUGUGUGGAUCUCGUCAGCAUAUCGUCGCAAACAGGUGUGUAACUGACACCCUCUCAUAGACUAGAUUGGCAAAAGCCGAAAAGUCGAAAUGCCGAAAAGUCGGUAUUUUGGGAAUUUGCGAGUGUGCGAAUGCUCGUAAGAUAGUUGGGUUUGUAUAUUUGGUAAUCUAAAGUAAUAAACUGCAGUACGCACGAUUUCGUACAUUUUGAUAAUUUGGGCUUAAUGGGCCAAAGAUCGGUUCAUGGGCCAACGGGCCCAAUUCGGUAAGUAUGCGCGGUAAGUAUUCUGAUAGAACGUAAAUAGUUAGGAUAUGCAUGAAAACUCUAAAAGUAGCUAAAUUACUAUAAUACCCCUAUGUAUGGAAAAUUAGUUUUAUACCCGUGAAAAAUUACCGUUAUACCCCUAGGGUUAAUUUUGACUGAAAAGCAUGACGAUCUGAUUCUGUAUGAUGUAUGUCAUGAUUAUAUAUCUGUUGCAUGGGGACAUGGGUUAUAUUAUGGAGGAAGCGUUCUGGUGGCUAUGCCACAAAUAUCUAAUCUAGUGGCUCUGCCACAAAUAUCUGAUCUGGUGGCUCUGCCACAUAUAUCUGUUCUGGUGGCUCUGCCACGAUUAUCUAUAUCUGGUGACUCUGUCACAUUAUCUGUUCUGGCAGCCAUGCUGCAAAUUCUGUGGUGUGUAGCGGUUGGGUGGGUCGAGUAGUCUCCCCACAUAGUGUAACGCUGGUACGGGAGUGUUAUGGAUGAAUCUGGGUUGGGUUUCUGCAUAAACAUGUAAUAUCUAUUAUGUUCUGUUAUGGGCCUAUGGGCUUUAUUCUGAAUUCUGUUAUGGGCUAAGGCCAACUUAUUAUGUUUCUGUGUGUUGAGCUGAUUUAGACUAUGGUUGGGUUAUUUUACACACUGAGUUUCCCCAAACUCACCCCUUUUAUUUUCAUCUACGCAGGAAAUCCCCAACCAUAGUGGGCUUGGAGCUGUGAGGGAAUUCGGAGUGGCCACCCGUUCUGAAAGUUUGAUUUUCUUCUGGUGAAUUAGACAUCCUUUUAUUUACGUUUGAAGUUUUGGGUUUUUAAAUGUAAUAAGGCCGCUUAAUUAUUUUUUAUGGUUUUAAUAUGUAUUACUAAUAUAGGUAUUACUUAUUUUAACUGUCGAAAUUGGAUAGCUUUAGGGCGCGUUUUCAAAAACAACAAUUGAUUUCAAAAUAACACGACAACAAGCAAAGCUUCCGCAAUGAAAGUAUUUUCCAAAAUUAAUCACUUUUCCUAAAAAUGACUUAAUCAAAUCGGUUUCCUAGAAAUAUCCAUGACGUUAAGGUGUGGCAAUGGUGGUAUGCAUGUCUAGGAUUGGAUCUGAAGGGAGCUUGGUACUUAAGCAGUCCGAUGGACUCACCACCUCUUUUCCGAUUUCCUACCUGGUGCACAGCUUCCAUUCACUUUAACCCUUAAUGAAUUAAUCUUUUGAACAUCAAGUACGAUUUUCUGGACUUAGAAUGGAAAAAAAAAUUUUAACGUUUUUGAUGUGGCAUGCCGGAUCCGGCUAUAACUUCUGGGCCGGGUUUGGGGUGCUACACAUCCCAUUUCUCUAUUUAGCUAAGUAAUUCCUAGAGUAAAAACUUUCUCUUCGCCGGUCACCAUGAGGAGCAGUUUAUGGAAGAGCAGUUGUGAGAAUUGGAGGAAGCCUCCAUUGUAACACCCUAGACCCGGCCUAGACGUCCAGCCCAAGCUUAAAAAGUCACAUGCAAAAAUCAAGUGCUAUGCAAGACACCAUAAACCAAACCGUGAUUUACAUAAAGUUUAACCCAAAUAGUGGUUAAGUAUACAGUCUGCAACAGUUACUUUACUAUAGUUUAACAAGGCUCCUACAGAAAUAAUAUAUAAGAAAUUAAUAGUUCGGCCGAGCUCCUGCGGCACCGACCCGUCCAAGUCUGCGAACCACUUGAAAUCC
rnacentral:lncRNA from 1 species